rnacentral:ncRNA from 1 species
CUAAAAGCUAUGAAAAAGACGAGUAAAUAAACUAUUCUUUCAGUGAGUUAACGUUAGUGCGAAGUUAGCAGACCCUGGUUUAUCGAAAAACACUUUUUCUCGCUGCACACUGAAAUAAAUUUUCUUUAAACUAAGUGCUGCCGUCUUCGAUACGUUAUCUUAUCGAUAGAAUAUGAUUGUAUUCUAUAAGCUGGUCUAGCAAUGCUAGACAAUUUAGGUGGUACCGCGGAAAAAAGCCUUUCGUCCUGAGA